AAGGCCGACAAAGAUGGAUGGACCCCCUUGUACUUUGCUGCCCAGGAAGGCCACCUGCCCGUGGCCGACCUGCCCCUUGCCAAG
rnacentral:ribozyme from 1 species